rnacentral:rRNA from 1 species
ACGAAGGGUGCAAGCGUUACUCGGAAUUACUGGGCGUAAAGGGUGCGUAGGCGGCCAUUUAAGUCUUGUGUGAAAGGCCCCGGCUUAACCGGGGAGCUGCAUGGGAAACUGGAUGGCUUGAGUGCUGGAGAGGGUUGCGGAAUUCCCAGUGUAGCGGUGAAAUGCGUAGAUAUUGGGAGGAACACCAGUGGCGAAGGCGGCAACCUGGACAGUAACUGACGCUGAGGCACGACAGCUGGGGGAGCAAACAGGA